GACGAACGCUGGCGGCGUGCCUAACACAUGCAAGUCGAACGGAGAUACGAUUUCGGUUGUAUCUUAGUGGCGAACGGGUGAGUAACGCGUGAACAACCUGACUCUUAGAGGGGGAUAACACUCGGAAACGGGUGCUAAUACCGCAUAAGACCACGACCCGGCAUCGGGAUGAGGUCAAAGGAGCAACCCGCUGGGAGAGGGGUUCGCGUCCCAUUAGAUAGAUGGCGGGGUCACGGCCCACCACGUCAACGAUGGGUAGCCGAGCGGAGAGGCUGAUCGGCCACACUGGAACUGAGACACGGUCCAGACUCCUACGGGAGGCAGCAGUGGGGAAUAUUGGGCAAUGGGCGCAAGCCUGACCCAGCAACGCCGCGUGAGGGAAGAAGGCUUUCGGGUUGUAAACCUCUGUCCUUGGUGACGAAACAAAUGACGGUAGCCAAGGAGGAAGCCCCGGCUAACUACGUGCCAGCAGCCGCGGUAACAC
rnacentral:rRNA from 1 species